rnacentral:lncRNA from 1 species
GACGGCUUCCUGGGGGAGGUGACACCUGAGCCAAGCCCCAGCAGAGAACUGUGGGGCCAGAGGUUCUUAGGCAAGGAGAACUUUAGCCUGAAGCCUCAGGGCCCUUCUAAACCCCAGAACUGGUAUUUUGGACCUUGAAGUACCCUUGGGAGAGGGCUUGGACUCCUGGGUCCUAAUUAUAGGGACCUUUGAGGCUGGAAGCAGUGAAUCCUCAGAGACCCUUCCAGCUCAAGGAGGAGCUAACAGCCAAAGAGAAUAUGUGUGUCCAAGGGACAAAGGUGAAGUUCUCUGCUCUGGCUGUAGGCAGAGCCCCAGAUCCUUUUGUCUUGGAGUCUCCUCUCCUUGGGUCUCCUUAGACCUGCUCUUCCUCAUCUUUAUAUUCUCCCUGGGGAUCGCCGUCCACCCCUUGGCUUGUAACCACCUCCAGUCUCAAGUCAUUCAUUUACCAAGUUACCACUUAUUGAGCACGUACUGUGCCAGGCUCCAUGCCAGGUCCUGGGAAGACCAUCGCCUUGUGGUCUAGGAGGGGAGACAGAUGAAACGCACACUGUGACAAGUGUGAUGCUGCAAUGGGGACUUGGUGACAGUCUCGGUAAAGCUGGAUCUUCUGCCUUAUUUCCACCCUCAGCACUUCCCUAGGCCCUCACUUAUCACUAUUGCAAAUAGGUCUUUGUUGCUUGUUUAUUUUUGAAACACAAGCAAGCUCCUGGGAGCCUGUUUGCCAGAUGACACAUUUGUUUUGCAGACCAUUAUGUGUCCUGUGUCUAGGAGGCUGUCUAGCACAUGGUAAGCACUCCAUCAAUAUUAAUGAGGAAUUCCCAUUGUGGCUCAGUGGGUUAAGAACCUGACAUAGUGUCCAAGAGGUUAUGGGUUCGAUCCCUGACCUCGCUCAGUGGGUUAAGGAUCCCGCAUUGCUGUGAGCUAUGGCGUAGGUCCCAGUCAUAGCUUGGAUUCAGCGUUGAUGUGGUUGUGGCGCAGGCUGAUAGCUACGGCUCCAAUUGGACUCCUAGCCUGGGAACCUCCACAUGCUGCAGGGCUGUAAAAAGAUAAAAGGGGACAAAAGUUUGCUAAUGAAGGAAAGAAUGAGGAGGGAAGGGAAGGAGGGAAGGUGAGAAGGAAAAAAAUAAAGGACUGAAGCUGGAGAAGGUGGGGGGUGGGAGGGUACUUGAACCAGACAGUCGGAGAAGGCCUCUGACACUGUGUAAUGUCUAUGUUGAAACUUUGAAGGUUGAGGAAAGAGCCAGGCAAGCAAAGAGCUGAGGACAGCAUCUAGGUAGGGGCAAUAGCAAGUGCAAAGGCCAGGGGGUAGGAAAGAGCUUGGCGUAUUGGAAGAAAAGAAGGAAGGCCAGCGGCUGAUGAGCGCCAGCAAGGGAGAGAGAAGUAGGAACGGAGGUCAAAGAGGAAGCAGGUGCCACAGCACGAAGGGCUUUGCAGGUCACAAGGAUCGGUGCCUGCAACCCCAGUGUAUCUUCUGCUACUUGCCCCCUGGAUUUCUCUCAGGCACUUCAAAUACAUCACCCUCUGAAGCAGAUGCUGUGCGUGCCCGUAUCCCCCUGGUCCACCCGAGAAGUCUUCUCUAGAUGGUUCCCAGAUGCUCAGUCUCCCCAGCUGCUCCCUAUGCUUCUUUCGGAGGGUGCUCUCUGGGAGGGUGGGGGGCUCCCAUGCCCAGCAGGCCUGGGGUGGGGGGUGGAGAGGUUCUGUACCCUCUAACCAGUUAGAGAUCCUUGGGGGUCAAUUCUUAGGUGAGUUUUCAGUGUCUCAGAGGGUCCCACUGGGAUUGCUCCUUGGUAAACUUUUUUUGGGGUCUUUUUAGGGUCACACCCAUGGCAUAUGGAGGUUCCCAGGCUAGGGGUCAAAUCAGAGCUGCAGCUGCCAGCCUACACCACAGUCACAGCAAUGCCAAAUCUAAGCUGUGUCUGAGACCUACACCACAGGUCACGGUCAUGCUGGAUCCUGAACCCACUGAGUGAAGCCAAGUAUGGGACCCACAUCCUCGUGAAUACUAGUUGGGUUCAUAACCCAAUAAGCCACAGUGGGAACUCCCAGCGUUUGCGCUUUUUUUUUUGUCUUUUUGCCUUUUCUAGGGCUGCUCCCAGGGCAUAUGGAUGUUCCCAGACUAGGGGUCAAAUCGGAGUUCUAGCCGCUGGCCUACACCACAGCCACAGCAACGCGGGAUCCGAGCCGCGUCUGCAACCUACACCACAGCUCACGGCAACGCCGGAUCCUUAAGCCACUGAGCAAGGCCAGGGAUCGAACUUGCAAUCUCCUGGUUCUUAGUCAGAUUCAUUAACCACUGUGCCACGACGGGAACUUCUCCCAGCCAUUCUUUAAACAUAACUUGCCAUGAACAUAACUCCCCUUAAAUAUUGUUCUCUCUUCCCCAUCUCCAGCAGGAAGCCAGCUACCAUAAUCAGACAUCCAAGUCCAGUCAGUUCAUCUAGAAAGGCAGAGGUGCAGAUAUUUAUCAACCUCCUCCCUCUUGUAUCCAGCCCUGUGCUGAGCGAUGCCACUCCAGGGAUGAAUCAGAUCAUUUCCUGCUCUUGGGGGAGAUCCUCUGGUCUUUUGUGGGGACAGAACUGGACCCGGACAAGGACCACACAAUAUGCUCAGAACUGCAUCAGAGGAGUUCCCAUUGUGGCUCAGCAGAAACCAACCCAACUAAUAUCCAUGUGGACGAGGGUUUGAUCCCUGGCCUCACUCAGUGUGUUAAGGAUCCGGCAUUGCUGUAAGUUGUGUGGGUUGGAGACGCAGAUUGGAUCCCACGUUGCUGUAGCUGUGACGUAGGUCAGCAGCUGAAGCUCUGAUUCAACCCCUAGCCUGAGAACUUCCACAUGUCUCAAGUUCGG